rnacentral:lncRNA from 1 species
UUCAAUGUCCCAUUAAUCCAAUUUCCAAACAUAAAUUCAAUUCCCAAACUACAAAAAUAUCCCAAAUUCCAUUCAAAUCAAAUUUGUUGCGUUUCAAUUCAAUUUUAUUCAAUUUCCAAAAUUCCAAAACCAUUCAUAAUUUACUCCAUCAUACAUUUCAAACGUUCCCAUUACAAUUUCAAAGCCAUAAUUCCAAAGUUAACAUUUCAUUUGCAACUCCAAAGUACAAAUUUACAACUAAAAGAAGCUAACAGUAUUGGAGGCGCCGAAUAUUCUUACAAUUGUAUUAAAACGAUUUCAGUCCGGUAACUUUGAGAAGUUGAAUAAGUCUGUUCAAUUCUCUGAAGUCCUGAAUAUGGCUCCAUAUAUCAGUGGAUUAAAAGACAAAUCUCCAUUAUACAGUCUUUAUGCAGUGGUUGCCCAUUUGGAUAGCAUGAAUGCUGCAUAUUCAGGCCAUUAUGUUUGUUAUGGAAGACAUCUGACGAGAAUGGUUCAGACUGAUGACAGCAGGGUAGAACCUAUUGAAUUGUCAAGAAGUCUUGUCAAAAAGAUCAUACAUGCUUCUUUAUGCAAUGCACUCUCUGAAGCCCCUGGGUUCAGUAAGUAGCAAUGCAGUCUUUUCCACUGGAAAGUUUAAGAGGAGAAACUUGGAAGCCAUUCCGGCUGUUUCUAAGACACGAUCAAAUUCCAUGGCUACAAGUGCUGAUUCUCCCUCCCUCCAGUAGAAGCAUGGCAAGCAUUCUCAUGGGAACACUGUUGAUGAUUCCUUUAGCAAGGAACCUGCAUAUCCAUAAGAGUGGAGAUUCAACUACCACAGAAGGAAUACCAUGGUGGAUUCUUCCAGCGAAAGCUCACUAUUCAGCUCUUCUGAUGCAAGUUCUUGCAGUACUGCAAGUACCAAAGACUCAGCUAGUACUGUUGAUUUUUCAGAUUACCUAUUUGGUGAAGCGGGAUCCAAUUGGCACGGCCACUAUGGAAGUUCAUCUAACACAUCAGCAUCUUCUUCGUAUGAUAACUUGCAUACAAAUUUUUCAGUGGAUAGGAGGUCCCAGCAAAACCCAAAAGAUAAAGCGAUUUUGUAUGCUAACAAAAACAAAAGUCAUAGUGGUAGAUGGGGAUUUGACUUAAAAAGAUUUGUUACUGCUAAGCAUCCAUGAGCAAAAUUCCUAAUAAUCCUUGCAUCAAAGCUCCAACAAGGCCAUUAACCUGCACAAUUGAAAUAAGGCAACACAGAACCUUUCAUGACUACACACCAAACUUCAUUUUAAACUAACCCUAACCUAACUAACCUAUAUAACUCAUUAAUCAUUUUCCAAAAUCCUUGGAUUAACCUCAAAUUAUUUUCAACAGAACUUGAUAAGAAAACCUUUACAACUACCCUUCAAUCGAUUUUCAAUCUGAACCUCAUCAUAACAGAAUCAAAUUUCAACCUUCCAUAACAAAGACCCUCAACCGUUUCAUAACUCAAAAAUAGAAUUUCAACAUUGUAACAAUUACCACUCUGUAACCACCUACUAACAAAUGCUAUGCUAACAACUUGUAACCACUUGUAAUAAACUCAUAAAUAACAGAAUAACAGACUGAGAAAAAAGCUAAUAGAAAGCUGCAAAACCGAGAGCAUAUAAGAACAACUUCAUCCCAAUUUUCACCAACUAACCUGGACCACCAUUCACAGCGGCAAAGGGAGAGGAUCAUUCAUAAAGCCUCAACCUCUAACCGAAGCCAUCACCGUACAACCGUAACACCCUCAAACCUUCCACCGAAUUUCCAACUUCCAUAACCUGCAACACCCUUUCUAAUUUCCAUAGGAGAAUACCUCGCACCUUUGAUAACCCUCCCCAAUCUUCGAUUCACAACACGAACCGACACGGAACCGGAAAGAGAUCAAGAAAAGUGUGGAACGUUACCUUCGUCGAGGAUUCACCGUCUGCAUUCAACUAUCAUCAUCGUGAUUCAUAGUUCUUUAGCUACUAAGUAGUAGGAGUAGAGUAAAUUUGUUGUUGACGCAUCAUCACAACCACGAUUCGCAUACGACAAUAAUGAACAGAACAACACAACGCUCGGUGGUGAAUAUCAGAACCUAGGAUCUUCGUGUCGAGACGCCGAAUCAGUAAGCUCCUUUUCUUCAUACCAAUUCCGUCUUCUUUAAUUCCACGCACGCAUGAAGAAUGAAAUGGAUCGAACUUCAAAUCGGUUGGAUUCAGUUUCGAAGUUUGGUUUUGGAGAGUACGCGUCACCAUUAAAGGCGAUGAAGAUCUUGGCGUCGUUGUUUUGAGAUUAGAUGUGUUGAGUGCGUUAACUCGGUGAUGCUUGAAAUAAAAUGUGAAAGUUUCAAUCUUGGUUCUUGAGACAUAGAUGGCGUUGGAAUUUUGUAACCGGGUCCAAACAAGAGCUGAAAAGAAUGCUGAAUUAGGCUUGUUGUCCAAGAAGCUUUUUGCCCAAUCUGUUUCUUUGUUUUCAGUACACCCCCUUCAUUCCAUAUCACCCUCAUGGCCCAUGUUCAUGUUGAUAUUUAAUUUUUGAUUAACUUAUUUUCAAUCCCAAUUUUUCUUGCUAAUCCAGAUUUUGUUUGUUGAUUAGGAUUAUUCAUUUCUAAAAAUAUUAGGAAUUUAUGUUUUAUUAGGUUAAUGUGUAACAUCCCUUUUUCUACUCUAAAAUACUUAACAUAUAAUCAGAGUAAAUAAGCACGCAUAUAAACAAAAGGGCGUCACAUCGACGUUUUCAAAAACUAGAAGCUUUCAAAAACCAAACAUCAUUCAUCAUCAAUAUACAAUACAACUGGUCAUUUAACAUAACACAGCUCAAUUAUCAUGAAUAUUCAAGAAUAUGCAUUCGCAGCGGAAAAUAACGAAUAUCCAUGCAUUUCAUAAAAUGAUCCAUGUCCCAUACCAUGAUCAUCUCUCAAUAACCUCUUCAAUUAAACAUGUUCACAAGUAAUACCAUAAAACGUAUCCAAAAUGAAGACACGAAUUCAAUACUACCAAUCUACCCAGUUUACAUGACCAGAGCAUUGACUCACUAUUAGUCUCUAAAACAAAGCACCGAGAUUCUCCAGUAAUUCUCGAGUGAGCUACCGUCCACUUACUUCAGCAAUACAUACUCCAGAGUAUCUACCGUAUACCCAUGUAAAGGUAACAUCAAACAGAAAGGAUGAGAAUUCAAUCAUUUGAAGAAGUAUAAUAAGUCACAAUGAUUAAAUCAACAAUUAAGAUUCAUCACACUUCAUAUAACCAUGUAAAUAAUAUUCAUCAAACAUCUAUUUCACAUGUUUCAAACAUCCAUCAAACUCAAGGGAGUACACUAUUGAAUCCAAUAUUAUAUUCCACAAAAUUACACAUAACUACCAAUCAUCACAUAAUCACAUAUGUUGUCAAGUUAGUAUCCAAACAUCAUCAAAUUCAAUUACAUAUCUCAUACACACCCACAAUCACACCAAUGCAAACAUUCAAUUAUUCACAUAACUCUAAUGUGACUCAAUGCAAGAACAUGUGACUUAUGCAUGCGAUACCAAAUGUGAAACCCAACGUUUCACCGGCUUUCCGAUUCAAUAUCUAGAAUCCAAGCCACUACGUCUAUUUCCAAAAUUAAGGAUCAACGUUAUCGCUACGCCUGACCUUUUCCAAUUAAGGAUCAACGUCUAUUACCACGUUAUUUCCAAUUAAGGAUCAAAAGCUUGCUACGCCUAUUUCCAAUUAAGGAUCAACGUCUAAUACCACGUCUAUUUCCAAUUAAGGAUCAACGUUGCUACGCCUAUUUUCAAUUAAGGAUGUCAACGUCUAAAUACACGUCUAUUUCCAAUUAAGGAUCAACGUCUGCUACGCCUAUUUCCAAUUAAGGAUCAACGUCUAAUACCAUGUGAACCCACAGUUUCACCGCUUCCACCAUGAAGCCGACCAUGCAUGCCAUGAAUGAAUGUACAAAUAUCAAUACAUAUGCAAUUAAGAUCAUCUCUACCAUCUUAACAUUCCACAUAUCACCAUAAUUCAACUCUAUGAAUUAUUCACCAAUGGUACAUAUACACAUUCAUAACAAUAUAUCAUUCACAAUCCACCAAUGGCACAUAAACACAUUCAUAACAAUAUAUCAUUCACAAUUCACCAAUGAUACUAUAUACAUGUAAUUUUGACGCCAUGAAAUCAACAGCAGAAUAGUGUUUUCGACAAAUGGAGAUGCUUGUUCGACACUUCGACAGAUUGGUGGUAUUUCGACAAUUCGACAAGAGAAGAGGUCUGCAGAUGAAGAGACGUCUUUGACAAGUAUGGAUGAUGUUAUGGUAUUUCGACAAUUCGACAAGUCUGAGGAGACGCGUCGUUUCGACGUAAAGCGGAAAUUCAAAUUUAAAAGAGUUAUGACGUUUGGCAGAAGACGCGUGGAAGCACCUGGCGAAAGAAAGUUAUGCAGAGAGCCAAGUGUCAUAGGUUUAGGAUUUAUUCGUUAGUGACAGUUAUUUUGUUUGUAUAUAAAUAGGAUAGUUGUUAUCAGAAUGUGUGUGUCAAAAACUUGUACAAAAUUCCUGCAAAAUACUCAAAGUACCCGUGUGAGAGAAAAGAGUCUUAUCUGGAAAAUGUACGUGUGAACAAACACCAUUUCUUUAAAGUUUUAUCUUAUAAAUUUCAAAGUUCUUUACCAAUUUUCCUUUACAUUUANUAUGGUCAUCAAAUAAAUGUCACAAACCAUUUUUUUCGAAGACAUAGUUUUUUAAUUUUUGAAGGACCCCAAACAUGCACUAUGGAUUAAAUUGAAAAGGUUUGCGAAGCAGGAAUAACCUUUUUGAAAGUAAAAGAUUACGCAGAUGCAUCUUAGCUAAGUGACAAGCUUCACAAUUGAAAUUGCGAGGAAUUUAUUCUUUAAAAAUUUUUGAAUACAAUACUUAAGAUAAAGGGAAACUAGGAUGGCCUAAUCUUUUAUGCCAUAACAUAACUGUGAUCUGAACGGAGGUAAAAAGUUGCACUGUUUUAAACCAAAAACCAUUGCAUUUCAAGAGGAGUUUCAUGCAAAGUUAGUAACAAUCCAUUCAUCUCUCUAGCAGUUCCAAUCAUUUCUUCCCCGAGUUCUUGCGUCCUGAAAAACACAAAAGUGAAGAACGAAAAAAUGACAGGGAACAAUUAGUGUCCUUAGACAAUUAUGAAACAGAUAGCAAGAUUGCAAGCAAAUUUUAGGAACGUGUAAAAACAGAGUGCAAAAGUAAUUUGCCUCUGAAAUUUUUAUGCACUUUGCCUGCCAAUACUAGAAUAACUACCAUCAGCAAUCCUUACCUUUUUCGACCCGAACAAGGGAAAAUAGGAAUUUGAAUAAAUGAGAGCAAGUCAAAUGAUUCAAGAUGCCCCUGAAUCUAUUAUCAAGGGUUGGAGUGUUUGGGGACAGAUAAUGCCCGAAGAAUUCUUACCUGUUAUGUGCCAACAGUUCCAACAGCAACAGUAGGUGAUGAAUGAACUUUUAGAAGGUUUAAAAGGUGAUCCAUUUGCUCCGUAGUAAAUGGAGACGUGUUCAGCCUCAUUGGUUGUAGAAGUAGGGCGGUUCACCAAACCUUCCAGCCCCCUUUUUUUUUUUUUUAAAAUUUUUUUUUUGGCUACCAUGUAGGGUUGAAAAACAGUUUUGCCGAGUGUGACGAUUUUGACACAGUAAUGCGGCAAACUAAAUGGUUUUUGUCACCACCUCAUUGGUUAGGGGGAAAGGUUUGCGAUUGACUAAAGGAACACCAGUCAGAUCCUUCAACUGGUGGAGGACCAAUUGCAGCCUUUUUUCAAGCAUCACCUGCCUGCGACUCUCUUCGCGACGCACUUUCAGCAAAUACUUCACCAAUUUGAGGGAUAGGAUUCCUGCCAAGAAUUCGGCCACGAACCUCAUUUCAAACUCAAUCAUUGUAAGACCAUGCAAGAAACUGAAGACACGACGAACAUCCACCAUCUUCUUGUAGGGGCUUGACACUCACACAUCGGUGGACUUCCACUCAUAUACAUUGAAACAUAUCCAAAAUCUUGCCCCAAAUACGCUUGGAGACAUUGAAGUAUUUCGUUAACAGAAUCUUGCAGCUUGACGAAUUUCCCAAGCUGGAAGUUUAAUUCAUAAAUUUGGGAUUGUACGUUGUCCCAAAUCAGAAUACAUCUGAGCGACACUUUCCCAAAGAUUCUUUUGCAGAGCAUAACAAGAUAGUUUGCAACCUAUCUUCUUCAGAUCAUGGGAGACUAACCAUGUCAUGGACCAUGGAAUUUUCAGCAUCCAACUAUCUAGUCUGCACCUUCCUUGUCUGGUUGUUUUCUUGUCUCCAGUGAUGUAAGCCAAUUUUCCUCUCCCCUGAAUACAAACGGACAGGAUGUGACCACGAAAAUAAUUAGGGACCGUUCAGGUCGAAUUGUUGUAAUCUGAACAGGGUGCAGUUUUCAAUGUAUUUUCUGAACAAUUGAGGUAUUCAGUUUUAGGUGAAAGAAUGUUUGAGAAGUGAAUCUGGGACUCGGUAUCAGACGAGUGAUCAUGACAUUGUGGAUGGAAAAAAUGAAAAAAAAAACGCAAAAGCAAAAGAAAAAAAACCUAAGGAAUCUUCCAGCAAACUGAUAAACAUAAAGAACCGAACAAAUGUUAUUUUCUUUGAGGGUAUUGUAGUACGGAAUACAGGAAGGUAUUUAUAGAAUACAAGAGACAGAUUAAUAAUGCCUAAUUCUGACCUGGAGAAUCAAAGCAAUUAUUCCAUUUAAAUUGCAAUUCAAAUAUGUAGAGACCAAACUACUUACUAAUUCUUAAUAGCUUAAUUACUAAUUAUAUAUUUACAAUGAAUAUUUAUGUUUGCAGCUGUAUAACACUGAACUUGGGUGAUCUGUUACUUAUCUCUCUAAUAACUUCCAAUAGAUAUAAUAAGUAUUAAGAGAGAGAAUGAUAUUACCAUGACUGGACAGAAAAGUUACUAUUUGAGUAACUCGGAUAUGUUUUAGAGUUGUGUUGGCAUUGCCUGGUGUUAGAGUAUACCAUAUUGUCGUCUGACACAAGUAAUAAUAAUAGCGAGUUAAUCUAUUGAUGAGUUUUUGAGAUAUUUUUCGGCGCGAUUCCAUUGAUUUUGGCGUUUUUUACAUUUUAAAGGUUUCGGGCAUUUUUGCGGCGUUUUCGAGUUUCAGGCAUUUCUAAUUUUGAAGUUGGAAGCUUUUCAGUAGUAUUUUUGAGCAUCUUGUGAGUUAGAGUCCUUUUGGUCAUUAUCCCUAGUAGAAAUUAUGACUCGUGGAUGUUUUUUAACAGUUUUGAGAUUCUGAGAAAUUAUUGAGUUUUUUGAGGGAAGUUUGAAAAUUAUGAGUUUUUAGGACAUUUUGAAGAAAUAUUAAUUUUUGCAAAUUUGAAGAAAAUUAUGAGUUUUUGAGGAAAAGUUGAUUUUUUUGGAGUUUUGAGAAAAUAUUAAGUUUUGGGAGAAACUAUGAGUCUUUGAGGAUUUUUUGAGUUGUUUAAGCAAAAUUUUGAUGGAGUUGCAGGAUAUUUGGUAAUAACAUAAUUUACCUUUUUGAGAUGAAAUAAUUAAAAUUGUUUUGAAAAAUAUAUUUUUGAUAUUAGUAAUCCAGAUAAGGGAUUACAGUUGAUGGCCUUGAAUUGACAUUUUGAGUUAGUAAUCCAGAGGAAGGAUUACGAUGAUGGACCUUAAAUGGAAUUUUGAGAGCAUAGUAAUCCAGAGAGAGAUUAUAGUGAGGGCACGAGUACGGAGAAUUAUAGAUUCAAAGAGUUGGAGCCUUUUCGUGAAUGAUUUGAGACUUGGUGUUAAUUAUUGAUUUGGAGAUGAUGAUUAUUUGUUGCGUUGUGUUGUUGUGAUUCAUGCAUUAAUGUUAUUUCAGAGAUAGGUUAAGACGUAAGGUCUAUUCGGUGACCUCAGAUUCUAUUUGGUGGGAUCGUGGUCUUCUUGAAAGACCAGAGGCAGGUCUCGAUCUAUUUGCGUGUGGAGUGUCGGUUCGUGGCUGACGGACUAGAGACCGUGGAAGAAAUUCGUGUACAUACCGCUGAUAUCCCACAAAAAACUUCGGUUACAAACAUGCAUUUGAGAUGAAGAUGGUUAAUUGCAUUGCAUUUACAUUAUUAGUUGUUUGAUUGUGUUUGAGUGUGAUUAAGAAGUACUUUAUAUUCGUUAUUACUAUCCUGUUUGUUUGGAAUUUCACCGGUUACAAUUGGUUAGACGUAUUCUCACCCCCUGUUAUUGUUGUGUUGUCUGUGCGCUCUUCGGAGUACAGACAAUUAGGUACUCAAACAAAGAGUUAGUUGCUUAUGAGUUAGAAGAUGACAUUGGAGGUUGUCUUUGUUUAUUUUAUUUAUUCACUUUUAGUUGGUAUUAUUUUCUCUGAUCUUAAACACUAGGGGAAGUGCAUUAUUUAUUUUGGAGUUUCCUGCUGAAAUUAUUUUUUCGUUAUUGGGUGACUUAUUAUAUUAUUGAAUUUGCUAUGAGGAUUUUUUUUUUCGCUGAGAGUUUUAAACUAUUUUCAUGAGAUAAAUGAUUUUGCAGAAGAAACAGUCUUAACAGGUAAAUAUUUGCUCUUUAUAUUAAGAGUCGGGAUUAAUCGGGUGUUACCAAUAUGAGAGGGGUUAACACCUACUUCACUAAGUUAGCAUGGAUUAAUUUAAGAUGACUAUCAUACUGAGGAGAUUCCUUCAAAGGGCUCACUGCGGAGCAAGCUUUCUUUAAAGGACUCUAUGGGUAAUUUAAUUAUGCGGAACCAAAUAAGCAUUUCUGCUUGCGGAAUUGUAAUGUGUUAGAUGGGGGUUGGACUUCCUAUGAGAGAUCACCACAACCCUUGAUUAUGAUAUGUAAGCAUGGCUUUGUGUGGAUGCAUGUCGACGCCGCAAGUGGUUAAUGGCAUUGUAAGUAGUUUGGGGAUCGCUUUCUUACGAGAGGUUACUGAAUUCUUUGCUUAUGGCAGGAGAGGUUUCAAGCUGAAAGUACAUGUCAUGCAUAAUAUAUUUUGGACUGAUGCAUGUGUUUGCAUGAAAUGCGUGGUUUGAUGCAAUAACUGUUUUUCUUUCCAAAAUGGAUAGGGACUUUUAUGGAUGCCAAGAUGAGAUGUAUAGUUUGCAGAAUUGAUGACUUCCCUUGAACUUGGGGAUAUGCAGUAUUUUUGUGGCCGACUGGAACCAGACAUUGGAUGCCCAAAGAUGCUUUGGAAGUAUGCUUCAUGAUUUGUAAUUUUUUUAUUGCUUUUAAUCAAAGAACAAAGAACUUUCGCACUUGACCAGGUUAUUGCGUUGAUGAGAGAUUUUUCGUGCUUUAUAUCUUAGAUGCAAUACUGCGAAGACAAUGGAUUCUUUGCAUAUCGUCAAUCAAAGUAAAAUAUAAUUUUUGAUUUUUUUUUACUUAUUCCCAGUUUUAGUGCAUUAUUUUUUCCAAAACAAAUUAACAUUUUGCAACAACCAAGAAAAGAAGAGUAUGAAAAGGGCCUGAAAAAAUGAAUUUUUAAUGCAGGACUUUGACAUGAAAUAGUAAUAAUAACAUGAAGAGACAAACUAUAUAGGAGGAAGUUACUGAAAAUGAAGAUAAAAUGGCAAUGGAACUUGUUUGAGUCCAUUGAAUUAUACAUAUGCUACUUUCCAGCUAUGAUAUCAAAGUCGUAAUACUUCACUUCUGGAGACGAUGGAAUGGACUGAUCCCUUCCAUACGAGUUUCCUGUUGUGGUAUAGCUUUUGAGUGUUGAAGUCAAUUGGCUUUCGAAUUAUCCCGAACUUUACAACUCAUUCGAGUUUAUCAGCUCCACUGGAUGCUGCUGGGGGCGAAAUUAUUUUUAUUUAUACUUCCUCCCCACCCUUUUUUCCCAAGCCACCCUUUUGGGUUUGACCUUUAGUCGGGUUUUAUUUGUGUAAGUCCCUUAUUUUUUCCUGGAAUUUUACUCUCUCGAGUUUCGAUCCACUAGAGACACCCUAAUAUUGUUAAGUCUCUCUUUCGGGUUUUCGACUUAGCGGACGUUUUUAUCCUCUUUUUUCUAGUAUAAAUUUUUUGACUGCAUCGAGUUUAUUGUAGUGAAAACCCUCUCCAUUCCAUGGUUUGUAAUGAGAAGGAUCUUCCAGAGAAGGCUUUUUCAUUGACAUAUGGUCCUUCAUAGUUUAUGAAUCCAUUUACCACGUGAUAUUUUGGAUGGGUAAUAUCCUUUUAAGCACCUAGGCCACCUUACUUGAACCUUGAGGCAAACCUUUUUGUCGAACGCUUUCUUGAGCCUCUUUUCUGAUAUAACUAAAUGUGCACAAUAUGGUCAUACGCUAAUCUUCCUAUGAGGUUCAGUUGGUCGAAUUCUCAUAUGUACCUAUAUUCUACCCCCUCCAAUUUAGUCUCCAGUAAGACUUCUUAACGACGGGAUUCCUAACUUUGAUAGGAAAGUACUGCUUCUAUCCGUUUAUACCAGAGAAAAGGGGUUGCCCCUGUUGAAGUAAUACUGGAGAUCUAUAUCCAUGCCAGUGCGAAAGAAACAUAUUAUGCUCAAUCUAUGUUCUUAUUUUCUGCUUCUACAACAGCCAUUCAUCUCCAUCCUGUAAGUGAUGAUUUAUGGUGUUCAAUUUUGAAACUCUGGCAUAACUCUUCAUCAUUGUGUUCAGGUUCGAACCCAUUAAUAGUAUAGUUUCUGUUGGGAAUGUCGUAACGACAUAUUAUCUUCUUUUUGAUAAAUCGGGUGACCACUUGUCUCGUCACAUUAGCCAUAAGAAACAACUUCUACCCACUGAGUUGAAGUAAAUUGAUUGGUAAACUAGUAGGAACCAGUGUCCCUUUUGAGCUUUUGUUGAUCGUCCCCAAUCAUGUCUAUGACCACAUAAAGACAUGAUCAUGGUGUUAGUCAAGACGUUAGGGGGAGUAGGUGCGUACGUUCACUUUUAUCCGCAUAAGUAUGGACAUUUGUAACACUUCUUGACAUACUUAAAGCAGUUAGUUUCCAUUAGUCGACCAGUAGUAGCCAACCUCUGAGGAUUUUUAUUGGCCAUUUGCAUAUCCGAUUGGGGCAAUGGAUGCCAAAAGAUCCUUCGUGAAUUUCUUUUGAUAAGCAUGUCCGCUGUCGUGUCUUUCCAGGAAAUUCUGCAGUAGACCAUGUCAUGGUUUCUUCUUGUAGAGCACAUUGCACUAUUUAGGAACGAAAUUUUAUUGCCAACCUUCUUAGAGUCUUCUUGUUCCCGCUUGAGCAUUUCAGCUGUACUCCUAUUUUACGGUAGCACUUGAUGUCAUAAAAACCAGGCUUGUCAUCAGUUCCUCUUCAUUGCUGAGCAACAUUGCUGACGCAUCUCUACGAACCAUUGUUGAUUAAUUGAUUGCUUUCAUUGUGGAAAUUUCACCUAUACAUUAAGGAUUAAGUGUAGCUAAAGCCGUCUGCCACCUUGAUUUUUCUUCUCUAUGAAUGUUUGAUGAAAAUGAUUUCAUUUGAAAUUCGAUCCACUAGUUCUAUGACUCGAGCACGGUAUGGUGAUCAAUUAGGAUCAUCAGGUUUCCCAUUAUCCUUUUACUGAUAAAAUCGACUAUGCAGGUCCUUCAUACACUCUACGUGUUAAUCCUUAGGUUCAUUAGCCAGCUUCGCAUGCCCAUGAUACAUUGCUUGUAUUUCUGCCAUAGAUGUUUGUGCAAUCGAGACCACAAGCCUUUGAUGUGAAGGGAGUAUAACCAUUCCUUGAAGAGAUUAAGACAACUCCGAAUUUCAGUCCUCCAUGUGCAUUUAGGCGCCAUUCAAAUGUGAGCUUCCAUCGAUGCUCUUGGUUCAGGCCCUCCUCACCGAACCUAUGACCUUCUCGUCAUUUAGAACCUGAUGUCUUCAUUGAAUUCAAACCACAUUAGUUGAUAAUCUUCCACUGUUGGUGGUCAAGAUAUUCUGUAUAACGAGCACUUCCUUUUAUCGGCCUAUCGAAGUAACAUAUUUGAUUCGUAUCAAUAUAACAACAUCGGCCAACAAGAGAUUCUUCUAGUGAGAGCUGGAGCUUUCUCAAUGAUAUACUUGAUGGGGAUUCCAUAGUUGAUAUGCAAUACGUUGGUAUGGGGUCAACAUGAGUACUGUCUUUUAGCGUCAGAUUGCCCAUACUAAUUGCACAUCAAUUUUUUUUCAAGUAACGCGUAUCUGGAUUUCAUUAAUCGGAGAUUUCUUGCUUAAGUAAUAGAGACAUAGCCCUUUCUGCCGGUUUUAAGCCUAUUUCCCCAGCAAACAUUUAACUCAUUGAUCCAUCGAGUACUGUAAUACAUAAUAAGGGGUAUCCCUGGGAAUAUGGGUCUUAUCAAGAUCGGUUGGCUCUUGAGGUGAUUCUUUGAUGUUAUCGAAACACCCCUAAACAAAUCUUCAUUCACACUCGAUGGCUUCAUUUCCUCAAAAAUUUGAAAAUGGCUCACAGGUGGUUUUUAAGAUGUGGAUGGAAUUUAGCAAGUAGUUCAAUCUUCCAAGAACACAAACCUCUUUCUUAGUUCUCGGAGUUGGCAUGUCUUUGUAUGCUUUUCACCUUUUCAAGACUGACUUUAAUUGCCUAUUUGGCUAAACUAUAACCCCAAUAACUUGCCUGAUUCUGACACCAAAAGUGCACUUGCAGAUUUAAAUGUAGUUGAUUUUAUUCUUAAGGCAAUUAAACAACUUCUGCAGAUUAAACCAAGUGAUCUUCUUUUGUUGGGGAUUGACAAUUCCAUGUCGUCAUUGUUGUGAGCCUCUGACUCUUUUUAGAUCAUAGUCGUGAAAGAGGGUCACGCAUCGCUCUUGUGGUAUGUUUCCCCCAACAUUCUUCAAUCCUUAAAGUAUUACCUGUAAUAAAAGGUGCCCCAAGGGGGAUGAAUAUGGUUUUCUUCAUGUCUUUAAGAGCCAUUUUGAUCUAGUUGUAACCGAAGAAGCCAUCCAUGAAGAAAAAGACCGAAAGCUUGUGCAUGUUGUUUACAGUACAUCAAUGUGAGGUAGAGGGAAGUCCGUCCUUAGGACUCGCUUUGUUUAGGUCUCGGUUAUGCCACACAUACUUACCUAGCAAUCUUUCUUUGGGACAACACAAUAUUGGAAACGAAUGUGGAUUACUUUGCAAAAGUCGGAAACCACUGCAUCAAACUGUUUUCUGACUUCUCUUUGAUUUUGGAGAGACAUUUCUGUUUGGUUCUUCUUAGCUUCUACGUCACCGUGGUGAGCUUCGUGGCUUGGCGGUGCUUGUGCACCGACAAUGUCCAUGUGUUAGUCUUAAUAUUUGGGUUUGGCCAAGGAAAACACAUCCACUUCUCUUGCAGUAGAUUCAAACCAACCUUUUCUUCACAACCUCGUUUAAAAAAAGCACAAACAUUAACCUCUUUUUUGUAUCCUCUUCAAAUCUUCAGAUUGAUCAACAUCACUUGUCCUGACGGGGUUGGAAUAAUUUUUGCUCUUAUUCAACAGUCUGGCUAACUUCUUCAGGAAGCUCAUUAAUCGCCGCUCACCAGUCGUUCUUCGCUUGGUUAAUCGGGAAUUUCAAAGUCGUAAGCAGAUUAUACCAAUGUUAUUUUUAUGGGUUCAAUUAUUAUCUGCAGGACGAUGAUUUUUAUUUAGGCAUUGAUGGAAAUGAAAAAGUGGAAAGAAUAUUGCAUUAUUGUUGAAAACUAGAAAAUAAAUAAAAAGAGCUCAAUUGAAUAUAAACUGCCCAUUUUAUUUAUGAUAUAUAAGUCCUAAAACAGAGAGCGGGCCCUACAAAAGCUAUCCAUUUUCCUUGGGUGGAGCGAAAGGAUUUGAAAAAUGUAAGUUACUUUGAAAUGAAAAUGUUUCUCUGGAAUCUCUACGAACUUGCAGUUGUGAGAGUAGUAUCUAGGAGACAAAACCACCCAAGUUGAUAUCUCUUUUGUUAUCUCUUCAAUCAUAGCCACUGACCCUUACAAUUGAAUCUCGCACUAUAUUUAAGUUUUCUUGAAUAGUGCAAAAUUGUUUCUAAUCAGUCUUUCGAGCCUUCCUUAGCCAUUGGUUAGUACCCCAAUCUGCAAUCGCGGUCUCUUUCCGGGCAGUUCUAACAAUUUCCCCAUCCACGGGUGUCCCUCCUUUUAUCAUAGCUGAGAACUUUCCCUAAGAUGGGCGACGUAUCUACGUUUUGAAGUCCUUGAUUUUGGCUAACGACAACAAUAUCCAAGGCUUGGAAAGGGGUGUCUAUAGGGUUUCUCCAUAUGCUCGAAUGAUACCGUGAAUGACGAUAGGUUGACUGACCAACAUGUCUACCUUGCCAUGAUAGUUAUCAAUUUAUCACCCACUAUAAGAUUUCAACAUGUGAUGAAGUUUUGAGGGUGAUGGCUCCCGCAAAUGGAAUCCAAGGAUCGUCCUAGAAGACAAUUGUAACUAAGGAUGUGUAUCCAUUACUUUGAAAAAAGUAGUUAUUGAAUGUAUGAGGUCCAACCAUAUUGGCAGAUAUAACUUCUCCAAUCACCAGUUCUUCAUAAAGGUUCUUUCUAAUGUUCAACUUUAUAAAAGUGUGUUUUCAGGCAUGACGUCCUAGAAGAUGAACCAAUGUCACUAAACACUUGAAAGGAUAAUGUCUUGGCAUUUCACUAUACUGUGCAAGGCCUUAUUUGGCUUUGCCUUCUACUAGUAAUUCUUCUCAAUAAAACUACUAGUUGAUAAUAUUGGCACUACUCCAUCAAAUUGGUCGAUGAUUAUAUCCUUUGUGACAUGAUAUUCAUUUCAAAAUUAUUCAAUAAAGGCUCUCUGGUGUGGCCUCAAAGCUUAUAAUAAGGAUAAAUGAAGAUUUUAGAAGGUGUUUGGCCUUAGUUGAAUCUGACGCACUUGUAAUCACUCUUUUUGAUGGAUUCGCAUAAAAUUCUUCGGCUUCCGUCUGGGAGUAUUUAUUCUUUGAGGUCCUAUCCAUCUGUGCGUUUUGAAUUGAUACUAUUUUCCCUUGGAAGUCUCCAGAGUCCUCUUUUGUAGUUGUCAGGAGUGAACAUUCUACCACUACGAGUACUUCCUCCGAUGCCAGCUAUAUUUAUGACAUUAGGCUCUUAGUGUUAGUGGCUUAUCUCCAAUGUGUUGUGUAUUGUAGCGUCCACAGUGUCAUACCUCAAAAUUUACGCCUAGCCCUUCACGAAGUUCAUCUAGGUCACGAACCCUAGCAUUCGCAUCUUCCUGAAAGCAUUCAUUCUCUACAUUAUCGUGCGUCUGUUAUGCUAACACACUCCACUUGCAUUGAAAAAGCAGAUUCUUGGAUUUAAGGGUUUCUUAAUCACACAUGGCCAUUGAAUAGGUUAUGAGGGCAUUUCAUUCUGGUCGGUAUUUCAUCAUGGAGGCAUAACUGGGAAACCUAAUCCAGAGGUGUUGAUUGUGGGCAUCAUUCAAGAUCAUUUCAAAUCCCUAAAACUUUAGUAUAUUGCGUUGUGGCAUCGCUCACCUUUUGGUGUACAGUACGAUUUGUAUGUGACUUCGUCUUAUUUCAUCUGGUCUAUUAUGGAUGUUCAUUUACUGGAUUAAGAAUUCAUUGGUUCUGGAUUGCAUUGAUUAAGAUUCAUUCAAGGCUUCAAUGUUCAGAUUUGUUGCUUGGUUAGUAUUCUUUGGUUCAAUAUCAGUCAAUACAUUGACAUAUCUCGAUUUGGUUCAAAGUAUGUGUAGUCCAUGAUUCAAUUAUCGCACACGGAAAAUACACAUUUUUAUCUUAAGUUGACUUUUGGUCAACCAUUGACUUUUUGGUCAAACCAGUUGUCAAAAGUCAACUGACCACCCUAAAACCUAAUCUCAUCCCAUCAAGUCUAAUUCGCUUAUGCAUAGUCAUGUUUGUUGCUUCUAGUUGAUUUUCUCAUGUUUUUUACGAGUCAAUUCGCAUUUUCAUGUUCAUCCAUUUCCACAACCAAUUCCAUUCCAUUUGGAAUUCCAAAUUAAAACAUUGCAUUUCAACAACACAUUCAAUUCCAUUAUGAUCUUAAUUCCCAAAUCACAUUUCAACCUUUGUUCCAUUACGUAUGACCAUUAUAUUCAAACCAAACAUUUAAAACCAAAUCAACAUUCCGCAUAACUACAUGUCAGAUUUCCAUUUUAUUCACUUACAUAGACAUUUCAUUACGAAGUGUCAGACCUUUCAAAAGAAAAGUACAAUAGACGAUUCCUAGCAUUUAACCACUUUACUAAUAAUCAAUGUUCCCAUUUAAUCCAAUUAUCCAAACAUAAAUUCAAGUUCCCAAAACUACCACAAAAUUAUCCCAAAUUCCAUUCAAUCAAAUUUGUUUGCGUUUCAAUUCAAUUUUAUUCAAUUUCCCAAAAAUUGUCCAAACCAUUCAUAAUUUACUCCAUUCAUACAUGUUCAAAACGUUCCCAUUUACAAAUUUCAAAGCCAUAAUUCCAAUUAACAUUUUCAUUGCAAACUCCAAAGUACAAAUUUCAACUAAAAGAGCUACAGUAUUGGAGGCGCCGAUAAUUCUUACAAUUGUAUUAAAACGAUUUCAGUCCGGUAACUUUGGAAGUGAUAAGUCUGUUCAUUCUCUGAAGUCCUGAAUAUGGCUCCAGUAUAUCAGUGGAUUAAAGACAAAUCUCCUUAUACAGUCUUUAUGCAGUGGUUGCCCAUUUGGAUAGCAAUGCAUUGCUGCAUAUUCAGGCCUAUGUUUGUUAUGGAAGAACAUCUGAACGAGAAUGGUUCAGACUGAUGACAGCAG